rnacentral:lncRNA from 1 species
GGGCUGUCCAAAUCAACCUGGCAGUGACAUCAGUGCUGGUGAAAACCACAUUUUAUGACUCUGCCUUCACUCGUCCUCCUGGGCAUUUUUUAUUCUUCAAAUUGGAGAUAAAAAUAAGGGUUGGUCUCUCAAGGUUAGGAGGGAGAGAGCAGCAUAUGUUCUUCAAAAGACUCAAUAAGAUAAUAGAUUUUUUUAAAAGCUGUUGCUAGUGUAACUUACUUAUAGUUUCAAAGGGCUUUUUUAAAAUGAAAUCUUUGCAAGCAAUAGUAAAGAAAUCUAGAACCCCCUGAGGUGAUGGUUAGAGUCCUGUCACGGAUUUAAAUCUAAUUAUUAGCCUGAAAGUAAAAAGGAGAAAAAACCGGCCGAGUGUCAGCCCGGAAAACAAUAAUCGCCGUGGUGGUGUUCAGCAGCCCAGUUAUUAGUGCCUUCAAGGAUAGUUCACCGCAUUUAUUCUUGCCCUUGAAAGACAGCCACAGAAGCUUCGAUGUUUUCUGAUAAUUGCUUCUUUUUCCAUGGAGUAGAGGUGCUUCCUGUGCUCCUAGGUUUCAUCUCUUCUGAGCACCUGAUGAAAAGCAUUGGCUGUCAGUGCAGGCACUUAGAAGAGAGGCAAUGUGCACAGAGCCGAGUGCCCCAGCCUGCACUUCCCCACCUGUGUGACCUUGUGCACGUAACCUGACUUCUCUGUGCCUCAAUGUCUUCAUGUGUAAAAUGGAGAUUAAAUGAGAGAAAGCAUGUCAGGUGGGUAGCAUGGUGCCUGGCUCAAUGUAAGUUCUCAAUAUGUGUAAGCUGUUUAUCUUUUUCCUCUUAUUAUACUUUGGCCAAGGUGGAAAAAGCUUACCAUGACACAGUCUAGCGAUGAACAUAACAUAUGCUGGAAUAUGUAUUUUCCUAUGCUGGGUUAUUGGCAAAGAAGCAAACAGGACACAAAAUGACUAAGAAUAUAAAAUAAUAUAACAAGUGCAGCUAAGUUGCAGACAUGUUCAUUCCAAGCACAAUAUUCAUGUUAGGCCACCCUCCGGUUCCUUAAUGAAAGCAGAGGACAGAAGGUGACAUUUGGCAUUGGGUAAUCCUAUUUGCCCUUUCCUGGAAUGCAAAGAAGGUGGAAGGAAAGGAUCCCACUCCUGUAGCACACACAGAGGCUUUGGGACCCCGUGCCUCCUGCCAACAUCACUCAGCUCAUUCAUUUAUUUAUUCACGUCAGUGACAGAUUCUCAAGACCUCUGAAAAUAUGUUAAGAGCAGGCUCUCCAAUCACACCAGAAAGAAUAUGAUUAAGAACUUAGAGCUGUCUUUAGGCUAAUAACCAGCAGAAACUAAAUCCAAGUAUUUGGGAGUGAAGAUGGUUGUUGAAAAUAUUGAGGCCUAGUAAAUAUUAUUUAGCAAAUGGAAGUAUUUCAGUCGGGGGUUUUGAAAGGCUUAGGUUUAUACUGUAAUCAGCCUGCUCUCUUCUCUAAAAUGAUUAGAGUCCUUGUUCCAUCAGUCCUCCUGAGUGGCUGCGGAACGCAGAAAAGGCAGCUGGUGACAUGCUGUGAAUUGGAAGUGGCUUCUAUUUACCUCUUCUCCACCUACUCAUAUGGCCACGGAUGGUGCCCAGUUCAAGCAGGAAUAAAACACCACGCGAGGCUAACUGGCCUAAGUCCUUCGAGUGGAGCGCAGAAACUUGCUUUAAGAGAGCCUGAUUAAAGGCCCCAAGUCCAUUUUAAGGCAUGGUUUUCUAUUAAGCCUUUAAUGCUUACAGAAGUAUACAUUUUCCAUAGAAAGGGAACCUAAACUGUCCUAAUAUGUGGGCAGUUUAGCUCCUGACUCCCAACUUGGCCAGAGGUGUGGUGAAUCAGCAUGUCACAUUCCACUAAAAGAUGCUUCCCUGUUUAUGUUUGUUUGGUGUUUAGGAAUGUAAUAACUAUACUAGAGUUCUUUCUUAGGCUGUGGUCUGCCUCUGAGGGAACUGAAAGUGAUGCAGAGAGCCAAAACCAGCAUCAUGAUUCUAUCAGAAAGCGUAUGUUUGUGUCCUUCAUUAGGAACAUUGCCGUUCUAUGCUACCGAAUGAAGAGGAUCUUAUUGAUACCUCCCUCUCGCUUCUGCCUCCAAACCAAUCCCUUGCUUCCUUCCACCCAGAAAUAAAAGGACACUCUGAGUUAUGGCAUUAUCAGUGAAUUUUCAGUGGGUAGGAUGUUCUGAGCAGUGAAAACUAUAAAUAAAUUGGUUCUACGCUGGAAUUAGCUGUGGAGCCGGAAAGAUAAACACAGGACAACUAAUUGCAGCCGCACGAUUAACAAGAAUGUUGUUCUAAGGAGAGAAAAAGUCAACAGCAUUAAUGAAAAUUAAGCAGUAUCUCAAUGGUACUAGUAAAUAAAUAAAUAUAUGUCUAUGUUUAAUUAAAAGCAAGACCCAAUUAUGUCUCACUUCUUACUGAGCUACUUAAAUCAAGACAGUCUAAUGUUAAAUGAGAAAAAUCAACUCAGGACACUGUCAUCUGCAUUUAAUCAAGACUUCUGUGUCUCACACAAGCUUUCAAGAUGGGUAGCGGUAGGGGUGUGUGUUUAGGAGUCUCAUGCAAACUUCCCAUUGCCCUGCAGUGGACAGGUCUAUAGAUCUCCAGUUGGAGUACAGAAAUCUUCUAGAAGAAUUGUGACUGUAAAGCCACUUCUAUAACUCUUACUCUGUGAUUCUGAUGCAAACAUACCAUUUUGGGUUAAUAUAAGCAAAGCUUGUAUCUAGAACUAUAGCUAAAAGUAUCAAUGUGGUGUUAUUUUUUUUCUGACAAUAAAAGCAAUACAUAAAUGUGCAGCAAAAUGUUUACUUAAGGUUUUGCUUCUUUUCAACUAAAUUUGUUUAGUACACAUUAAAGGUCAGAUGUGGGGAAGAUAGAUUGGGGGUCAGGGGUUGUUUCUACCUGCUUUGUCUAAAUACCUUACCGCAGUCAAUGUCCUUAGUUGUUUUGUGUCUACCCCCAUUAACUGAAAACCCAAGGUGAGAAAGUCUUCCUUGCUGAGUUUAGUGACAGUUCUCUCCCAGGUGAAGGGGAUGGGGUAAGAGGCAGAAACCCCUGUCUCCAGAGGAAUCUGAAGAGAGAGUGUGCUUUGAUGACCCCGGGGGUGCAGGAAGGAAGUGGGGCCCAAGCAGGCAAUGACUAUGCCUGGCCCUGGAGUUGCGUACUUGGCCCUUACUGUAUCAUUUCUUGUCUCACUUCCUCUCACUUGUCAGGAAUGUUGCCAGGACUGGUGAAAAGACAAGUGAGAUACCACGCCAAAUAAAGCCAAAUCCUUGAAAGAAAGAUGCGAUGGUCUACAAAUCAAAGCAAAGGCCAGAAAAGCGACCUUCAGAAGGAGCCAGCACCCCAGCUCCUGCCUCAGGGCGAUAUGAAGACCCCAGGAAGGAAAUUAUGCUGAGAAAAGGAGAUCACACCUCUGUCCAGCCUGCACCGGCCCCUUGGCAUGCCCUGAAGACACAAGGCCUAAAUCAAGGUCAAAGACACAGCCCUCCUGGUUGUGAAGAUUCCAAAGGCUCCCAGCUGCAUGAGGAGGGUUACCCAGAAUGUCAGAUUUGGAGCAAUUCAGCGAGAACCCUUCAAAAUUCAGUGUGGUAUGUGGAAGUCAGUUCAUUGUGCAUUUUGAUACAAAACCUGCAUUAUGAUGAGGAUCUUGGAUCUAUUUCUCAUCUUGCAAAUGGCCCCUGUAGAGCUGAUCUGAAUGACUAGCUUCAAAGGAAGGCUACAUCUUCAUCAGCACCCCAGGAGAGCUGUGUCGGACACAGGCGGUGACAACGGAACUGUAUUUUUGGCCCAGGGCAUGGAAUCACCACUUAUGCAUGAGGAGCAAUGAGCUGGGGCAUUUAACACUGCACAGCUUGUGAGAAAUAUGACUCUCCACCCUGCACAAACUCUGGUGACUUGUCUCCCACCAACAGACUGUCAUGUGUAUGGAGGUACGGGGCUCUCAAGAGCAAGGUGAACAUUGCUAGGUCUCCAGACCUACCAGUCAUGCCCCAUGCAGGAUUCUGUGAACU